AACAAAAGCCUGUUUCACUUCCAAAUGUUCUUGAUAAAACAGAGGAAAGGCUGGACCCUGUAUUUGUGUUGUGUACCCUCACUCUAGGAGGUGUCUUCACACUAAGAGAUGGCCACUCAGCUUCUGGCAUUAUCACUCUGCAUCUACUUUGCCAAGCUUCUUCUUUUGAAACGUCUUGUGUAGGCAGUAGUUAUGAAUAUGCCACCCAGAAGAAUACCAGAUGAAUAAACUUACAAAUAUUUUGAAUAAAGCUCAAUCUAACAAUAGAUAUUUGAAUGAAAAUACUGGAAUCUCUUGUAAUAGCUCAGAAGGUAGCUUAAGUUUUAGCACAGGUGGUAGGAUCACAACACCUUGACCAGGACAGUCCACCUCUGAGCCUCGUCUACUAUGUGGUUUCUGAGUUCUGAAGCUCAGAAUGUUACAUAUAUGGGAAGUAGAAUAUAAUAAUCUAUGUAAUUUCUCUGGAUUCCAUUCCCAGUUAUCACAUGCCCCAAGAUUCCCAAUAAAUCAGAAAACCUCACAUUUGCAUUUUAGUAUUUCCAAAGGUUUUUUAUUUUUAUUUAGAGACUGGGUUUCACUGUUGCCUAGGCCAGAGUGCAGGGGCUAUUCACAGGUGCGAUCAUAGCACCCCACAGCCUUGAAUACCUGGGCUCAAGCAAUCCUCUUGCCUCAGCCUCCCAAGCAGCUGGGACUACAGGCACCCAGCUUCCAAGGCUGUUUUUAUUUUUAUUUUUUAAAGUUAUGUAUAGAUAGGAAAUCAAACACUUAGGAGUGAGCCCUCUCAACUCUUACUCCUCUCACAUUUCCCUCUCAGUCUAUACAUAAUCAGAAACCUGGGAGACCCUUGAUGUUGUCAAGUAAACAUUUCAGGUGUGAUAAAAAAGGAUAUAGGCGCCUAAAUUU
rnacentral:lncRNA from 10 species